rfam:Ajellomyces capsulatus H143 mitochondrial scaffold supercont2.49, whole genome shotgun sequence.
AUCCGAGUGCUGGAAUUGGUAGACAGACCUAACUUAAAAUUAGGUGAUGGAUUUCGUGUACGUUCAAAUCGUGCCUUGGAUA